UGACCGUGCGAAGGUAGCAUAAUCAUUAGUCUUUUAAUUGAAGGCUUGUAUGAAUGGUUGGACGAGAAGUAAUCUGUCUCUAUUGAAAAAAUUGAAUUUAACUUUUGAGUGAGAAGGCUUAAAUGAUCUAGAGGGACGAUAAGACCCUAUAAAGUUUAACAUUAUAAUAACAAAAAGUUGAUUGGGUUAGAGAACUUAUUAUUAUGAAUAGUGUUUUGUUGGGGCGACAAGAAUAUAAACAAUUUAACUGUUCUUUUUUGUAUCAAAGAUAUUUGGGUUAAUGAUCUUUUUAAGAGUAUUAGAGUAAAUUACUUUAGGGAUAACAGCGUAAUUUUUUUUGAGAGUUCUUAUCGACAAAAGAGUUUGCGACCUCGAUGUUGAAUUAAAGAUUCUUUAUAAUGCAGAAGUUAUAUAAGAAGGUCUGUUCGACCUUUAAAUCUUUACAUGAUUUGAGUUCAGACCGGUGUGAGCCAGGUUGGUUUCUAUCUA
rnacentral:rRNA from 1 species